AAAAUAUUUCAAUUUUCUUUCACAAUACUAUUAUACUAUAAUUAAAAUUAUUUUUUCUUUAAUAAAUACUAAAACAAAUCUCUAUAUAAUUAUUUUUAAUAAAUUAAAUUAUAAAAACAUAAAAAUAAUAAAUAAAAUAUAAUCAAUUUAUAUUGAUUUGCACAAAAUUCUUUUCAAUGUAAAUGAAAUACUUUUCUUAAUAAGCUUUAAAUUGCAUUCUAGAUACACUUUCCAGUACAUCUACUAUGUUACGACUUAUCUUACUUUAAUAAUAAGAGUGACGGGCGAUGUGUACAUAUUUUAGAGCUAAAAUCAAAUUAUUAAUCUAUAUAAUUUUACUAUCAAAUCCACCUUCAAUAAAUAUUUCAAAUUUAUGUCCGUAUAAAUAAAUUUAUUGUAACCCAUUUUUACUUAAACAUAAGCUACACCUUGAUCUGAUAUACUUUCUUUUAUAAAAUUAUGAAAAUUAACAUUCUUAUAAAAUAUUCUAAUAACGACGGUAUAUAAACUGAUUACAAAUUUAAGUAAGGUCCAUCGUGGAUUAUCGAUUAUAAAACAGGUUCCUCUGAAUAGACUAAAAUACCGCCAAAUUUUUUAAGUUUCAAGAACAUAACUA
rnacentral:rRNA from 1 species